AUGGACAGUGAUACAAUUUGUUGAGGUGGGUGGACAGCCUAGGACCUGGGCAGACAAGCAAGCAAAGCUGCCUAACUCCUGCAGAAGUGGGAACAUUCUGUGGCAGGGACGGAGCUCCUGAAAUUAGAUGAUCACAUUUUUCUACUCUCAUGACAUAUCCAUAAGCAACCCGAAAUAUUUGUGAAUUCUGUCACUGCAAUUAUGAAAACUGAGAUUGAGUGCCAUCUGGCAAGGGGGAGCUAAACUGGCCUGUCCAGAAGGGCAAGAAGACGGCUUGGAGUUAAAUCUGCUCUGGCAACUGGCAAGCAUUUCUCCCUGCUUUGCUAAAAUUAGCCACAAAAACAACUUUCUCUUCCUUAUCUAUUAAACAGUGCCAUCUGGUGGGAAUCCACACUAUCUUGUUCCCCAAUUCUCUACCUUUUCUAUUAAUGAAUACUAUUUAUAUAAUUUGGGUAUUCAUUUGAUCUGUUAAUGCAGACCAAGUACCAAGAUGCUAAGAAAAAAAAAUCUGAAUCCAUCUGGAAACAUUUUGGUGACCAAAGGCUGCUCUGAUGCCACAAGAAGCAAACCUUCUAAGGUUUCUAAAUCCAAAGUCUCCAGACUGGGGGCAAAGUUCAUGUUGGCAACUGCAUGUCUCCUACCCCUCUUAAAAAUAGUCCUUCUUAACCUUCCUUCCACUCUCUACGAUUUGUCUUGUAUAUGAGAUGAUGGAGAAAGCUGAACCGGGAGGGGACUGGGAAAUGUAAUAGACAAAGGACUUAAUUUGACGUGUGGAUAUGAACAAGGAG
rnacentral:lncRNA from 1 species